CGCUGUUGCACUGUGGUAGUAGGAGAAACAGUGAGUUCAGAAUAAAGACGUAAACUUGUGUCCUUUUACAAUUACAGGCCACCACAGCUACAGACUGAGGCCGGUAACACUGAGAUGGAUAACAAUAUCCCAAUACCAUCUGCUCUCGCCAGUUUUAGCCCCAGGCAGCACCAUCUUCAAAUGAGCCUUUACGUCGGCCUGUCUCUGAAGACGCCCCCUGAGGUACUGGGGUAGAGUUGGGGGGGAACCAGUUUGUCUACGCUGUGAUCAGGACAACACCACCAAGACUGUCCUGUUCUGGUACCAGAUGAGAAGAAGUUCCUUCCAGUUGGUACUGUUCUCCUUUGGCCAGGCGGUGGAUGUAGAGGCUGAACACGAGAGGAAUCUCUCUGACUCUGUUUGUGGACAAGACUCAGCUCUCUCACAACGCGGAGUACUACUGCGCCAUACAGGGUACACAGUGAGCAGUCUGGAUCUGCGUCCCUGACAACAACAAAAAAUGACCUCAAAGCUCAGGAGGAGUGGUGGGGGGGCUGAGAAGGAGGCGGGGUACGUGUGUGUGUGUGUGUGUGUGUGUGUGUGUGUGUGUGUGUGUGUGUGUGUGUGUGUGUGUGUGUGUGUGUGUGUGCGUGCGCGUGCGCGUGCGUGCAUGGUGAGUGUUGAGACAGAAUGAAUGGCUGUUGUAUCCUCUAGGGGGCUCUCAGAUACCAGAACUAAACUACAGCCCUCCUGAGAUGCUGACCUGUUGCACCCUCUACAACCACUGUGAUUAUUAUUAUUUGACCCUGCUGGUCAUCUAUGAACGUUUGAACAUCUUGGCCAUGUUCUGUUAUAAUCUCCAACCUGCAAAGCCAGAAGAGGACUGGCCACCCCUCAUAGCCUGGUUCCUCUCUAGGUUUCUUCCUAGGUUCCUGCCUUUCUGGAUAAUUUUUUCCUAGCCACUGUGCUUCUACAUCUGCAUUGCUUGCUGUUUGGGGUUUUGAUGUAAAAAAAAGGGCUUUAUAAAAACAUUUGAUUGAUUGACAACAUAUACAACUCUCCCAGUCAGACAACAUGGUUGCUGUGGGCCUUCUCCUGCUGCUGCCACUAGAAGUAGAGGGGGAAGACGGAAUGCUGAAAUAGCAGUGGGCACGAUGCAAGGGUACAGGUGUCGUAUCUUAACUCGAUAACCGUUUUCUCACAGAGAAUUGUCCUGCUGCAUCAGGUAAGCACAUACUCAGCAGCCGUCUGAUUCCCCUGCUGUAGCUGAAGCAGACGCUCACCUCCAUCUCUGACCUCCGCGGGAUGAUCAAAAAUACAUUUAAACAGAACCAUGAACCCCUCAUAAGAAUCUAGCUCCUCCUCUCCUCUCUCCCAGACGGCCGUAGCCCAUUCCAACGCCAUAACCGUGGCAACCUUAGACCUCUCGGUGGUGGGGGCUCCCAAUUGGUUGAAAAAUAGAGGACGCAGUGAAGGAGGAAGCCACAGCAUUUGGAUGGUGUCCAGUCAUAUAUUACUCCGGGAGGGAUAGACCGGCAUCGCUAACUUGAGCGGGUUGCUGAACGGGCUGGUGUUCUAACUCAUUGGGUAGACUGGCUCUAGAAUAUCCUCCGCUGUUAGGAAGUUGUAGACUGUGGAGAACAUCUUCCAUGGCCGUCCACAGUUGAGCCAGCUGAUCAUGGUGUUGAUGAAGAAAGUGGGAGAUGUCCAGUUGACCUGCUGCUUCCAUAUUUUGAGUUGGUAUUCUGUAAUGAUGAGGCGGUGAGUCGGAAGCACGUGAAACGUUUUAAUAAAAUAACAAAACCAAGAACACGACAAUAACAUAAGGAAAUAUGCCAAUACACAAGAACAAUACCAACUGGUGAGUGAACAUAGGAGAGUGACAUAUAAAGGGGAGGAAAUGAUGAAGGUAAUGGAGUCCAGGUGUGAAUCAUAAUGAUUCACAGGUGCGCGUAAUGAUAAAAUCCCAGGACCGGUGGUUAGCACUCUGGCAACGUCGUAUGCCGGAGGGGAGGAGCAAGAGCAGAC
rnacentral:lncRNA from 1 species